AAGCAGACCGGGUAAUCGCCCCGAAAUUUUUCGGGGAGGAAAGUCCGAGCUCCACGAGCAGCGUAGCGGCUAACAGCCGUCCGCUGAAAGGCGAGGAUAUAGCCUUGCACCAUUCGGCACUUUGUGCCUCAGGUGCAGGGCUACGAUGUACCUGAACGUUAGUGAAUGGUACAUGGUAGAGCCACAGAGACGAGUCUCCGCCAUCAUUUUUGGCGGAGGGUGAAACGAGGCAAUCUCUACGCGGAGCAAGACCAAAUAGGACCAGAACUAGGAAAAAGCUCGUUCCUAUCCGAUUAUGGGAUGUCUGGUCGGGUAAGGUCGCUUGACCCUUAGAGUAAUCUAAGGGCCAGAUAGAUGAUUACCUCAUCUCGCUUUUUAGCGGGAUAAGACUGAACUCGGCUUACAGGUCUAGCUGACAA
rnacentral:RNase_P_RNA from 1 species